rnacentral:rRNA from 1 species
UACGAAGGGGGCUAGCGUUGUUCGGAUUUACUGGGCGUAAAGCGCACGUAGGCGGAUCGUUAAGUCGGGGGUGAAAUCCUGGAGCUCAACUCCAGAACUGCCUUCGAUACUGGCGAUCUUGAGUCCGGAAGAGGUGAGUGGAACUCCUAGUGUAGAGGUGGAAUUCGUAGAUAUUCGCAAGAACACCGGUGGCGAAGGCGGCCAACUGGACCAUUACUGACGCUGAGGCACGAAAGCGUGGGGAGCGAACAGG